rnacentral:rRNA from 1 species
GUGCCAGCCGCCGCGGUAAUACCGGCAGCUCGAGUGAUGACCGAUUUUAUUGGGCCUAAAGCGUCCGUAGCUGGCCUCGUCGGUCCGUCGGGAAAUCCACCUGCCCAACAGGUGGGCGUCCGGCGGAUACCACGGGGCUUGGGACCGGAAGACCCAGGGGGUACGUCCGGGGUAGGAGUGAAAUCCCGUAAUCCUGGACGGACCACCGAUGGCGAAAGCACCCUGGGAGGACGGAUCCGACAGUGAGGGACGAAAGCUCGGGUCUCGAACCGGAUUAGAAACCCCGGUAGUCC